CCUACGGGUGGCUGCAGUAGGGAAUAUUGCUCAAUGGGGGAAACCCUGAAGCAGCAACGCCGCGUGGAGGAUGAAGGUUUUCGGAUUGUAAACUCCUUUUGUUAGAGAAGAUAAUGACGGUAUCUAACGAAUAAGCACCGGCUAACUCCGUUCCAGCAGCCGCGGUAUUACGGAGGGUGCAAGCGUUACUCGGAAUCACUGGGCGUAAAGAGCGCGUAGGCGGGAUAGCAAGUCAGAUGUGAAAUCCUAUGGCUUAACCAUAGAACUGCAUUUGAAACUGUUAUUCUAGAGUAUGGGAGAGGUAGGUGGAAUUCUUGGUGUAGGGGUAAAAUGCGUAGAGAUCAAGAAGAAUACUCAUUGCGAAGGCGACCUGCUGGAACAUAACUGACGCUGAUGCGCGAAAGCGUGGGGAGCAAACAGGAUUAGAUACCCCUGUAGUG
rnacentral:rRNA from 1 species